rnacentral:rRNA from 1 species
UACGUAAGGUGCGAGCGUUAAUCGGAAUUACUGGGCGUAAAGCGUGCGCAGGCGGUUUUGUAAGCCAGAUGUGAAAUCCCCGGGCUUAACCUGGGAAUGGCAUUUGGGACUGCAAGGCUUGAGUGCGGCAGAGGAGACUGGAAUUCCUGGUGUAGCAGUGAAAUGCGUAGAUAUCAGGAGGAACACCGAUGGCGAAGGCAGGCCUCUGGGCUGACACUGACGCUCAUGCACGAAAGCGUGGGGAGCAAACAGG